UCCAACAUCAUUCAAAGUGGAAGCUCAGGGGCCGCGGCGGGCAGCUUUGUCACGGUCAGUGAGGCCUCAGAGCUCAGAACAAAAAGCUUGUCUGUUCACCGUCUGUCCUCUUGUGUCUUUAAUGUCUGCAGAAAUAAUUGCAGUGGAUUUCACAUCAAUUCCACGCAAAUACCAAUAUUGAAUACUUCUGGAGCUGCGAAGAUGAGGCAAAAUGUUGCUUUGUCACUUCUGUAACUUCUUUGCACAUCUUGAUAUCAAAAAUGUUGCUCAGUUGAGGGAAGGUAAAGGUAGCACACUAGCUAACAGCAAAGAAAACUGACUCUUUUUUUUCUCGGAAAACAAUAAACGUGCAGGAAAUCA